rnacentral:rRNA from 1 species
UACGAAGGGUGCAAGCGUUAAUCGGAAUUACUGGGCGUAAAGCGUGCGUAGGCGGCCAGUUGCGUCCGCUGUGAAAUCCCGGGGCUUAACCCCGGGCGUGCAGUGGAUACGGGCUGGCUGGAGGCAGGCAGGGGAGAACGGAAUUCCUGGUGUAGCGGUGAAAUGCGCAGAUAUCAGGAGGAACACCGGUGGCGAAGGCGGUUCUCUGGGCCUGUACUGACGCUGAGGAGCGAAAGCGUGGGGAGCGAACAGG